rnacentral:snRNA from 1 species
GGAUGUGAGGGUGAUCUGGCUGUGACAUCUGUCACCCCGUUGAUCACCAGGGUUGAUUUGGCUGAUCUGGCUGGCUAGGGGGGUGUCCCCUUCCUCCCUCACCGCUCCAUGUGCGUCCCUCCCGAAGCUGCGCGCUCGGUGGAAGAGGACGACCUUCCCCGAAUAGAGGAGGACUGGUCUUCAGUCAAGGGUAUACGAGUAGCUGCGCUCCCCUGCUAGAACCUCCAAAUAAGUUCUCAGUCAUUCAUCUUGCAAUAACUUCUUGGCUGAUGAAUUUGUUACCUUUUCAUCUUUCUGCUACACUUCUGGUGAGGCUACGUUUUUGGCUGCACACAUCUG